UGCUACUGAAGUCUACAGUUUUAUUUGCCUAACUAUUUAAGGUCUAAAAAAUCCCUCUGAAACUCUGGAGUUUAUUUGGUAAAGUUUGAACACGAGUCAAGGUCUUGAUGUUGGCUCUGUUGAGGGUUCAGGUCCCCUGGCAGCCUGGAUGAAGGUGGUGGCCCUAACGCUUGAUCAGUGUCCCAAACAUGAGCUAUGUUGCGUCUUUUGACUGUAUAUAUGACUAAUUCUGGCAUAGGGUUCAUUUUGUUAGUAUAAUCUAAAAGUGUGGAAAAGGUAAAAAUAUUUCAAGGUAUCUAAAUAACCUAGAAAAAUGUUUUGGUUUUUUUUCUGGUAAAAUGGCGCUUAAAAACUUUAAUGUCUGCAAAUCCUUGUUUACUGAACUCAAAGACAAGCUGUUGGUUUCUCGAGUGUUACCCAGAGCUCAAUUGUUAGUUAUUCAAAGAGUGGAUUAGUGGGACUUUAUUUCAUCUUGUUUUCAAAGAGGUUAUGGAUAUCACUGCCAUGGUUUGAAACUCCCUGAUUCCUUAGGACAAGGCAGGUAUCAGGGCUAACACGGCUCUGCUUCUGCAUUUCUUGAAGGCACAAGCAUCAAACAUACGCAGGUAGUUAAAAAAGAGCAAUGUUUUUGGCACAUUUUAAGCUGUACCUUAUUCCCUCUCCCAUCUUUUUGCAGAUGUAAGUGCAGUUUUUCAGCUGUAAAUCCAGGAGCUGCAUUGACUCCCAGCCAGUGCUGAGCUGUUCCAUAAGGGUCGAUUUAUUAUUUAUUUUUUUUAACCUGUUUGGUACUUCUCUAGGAAUAGCUUUACAAAUGAGUGGUAAUGACUCCCUAAUAAGAACACUCCUCUCUUUUUGGAUGAUAGCAUUUUCGAUCUGCUUUGCACAGACAUAAGGGACCUUCAUAAGGUUCAAAAAUAGGGGUUAUUUGUCCUAACACACACAUUUGUGGCUAUCAAGCUUAACUGCAUGUUAAGUGUGUUAAUCAUGUAUAUAAAUCAAAUUAUGUUUCGCCAAAGAACGAGGGAUAAUAAUUAGAAAGGAGAAUGGUCAGUGGUACAUUGAAGUUGACAAUAAGCACAAUUCAAUGUGCAUAUUUUUCUUCUGAACAAAAUAGCAUUCCAGCUCUCCCCCUGAUGAGAGGAAUGUAUUGUCAAUUAAUUAGACUUCCAUCAUAUGUCCUCGGAUGCCCUUCUAUCAUAUGCCUUCCAUAUGUCCUUAUGUCAUAUGCCUUCCAUAUGCCCUCUAUGUAAUUAAGCUUCUAUCAUAUGGCUUCUAUCAUAUGCCAUUUAAAUAGAUUUCCAGGAGAAUAUGGCAGUGUUAAAAUUAUGGACCUUUUGCAAUGAGUAAAGGAACAACUCAUGAGCUGUAGAUUAAAAGAGGAGGAAGCAAAAGGAAGGUGGCUCGCACUGAACAGUUCCUUUAAUUGCCAGUUUUGUUUCUCUCAGCUUGGGCAACGAACGGACAAAAGUGUCCUGUUUCCCUUGUUUUCCAUUACAGCUCCAUUCCCAGUUUUUAUUCUGAGAACAGUCAGAGAGAUAGUGACUGGUUUUUCAGAGAACGCUGCCACUGGAAUGUAAAAUGAAAAAGAAACAAUCCACCCCCCCCGAAAAUUGUUUGUCCUACGAUAAUGAAAUGUAAACUUCGAUCCUGUUUUUGUCUCUUCAAGUCUGUAACGGAGGGAAGUACCAGAAUUACCAUGGGGAGAGGAUUAUUGAAAAUGAGAUGGUUUGCUUUACUUAAGCAGGCAACCCUGGUGGGUGCAGAUAGUGGUGUGCUUUUCUUGGCAUGGUGACCGCUUGGUAGUGUCCUGUGCACAAGAAUAUGGGGUGAAAUGGAUUCCAAAUUGACUGUGGCUUAUUAAGGGUGAAGACCAAAAAUAGGCACUGAUGCUUACAUACGUGAUGAGGAAAACUACAAGCAUCCGAGGAAUGAUGAGGUCUUGGGAUGGUUUCCAAUGAGAAGACAGCCAGUGGGCUCGUGUGCCGUGUGUACGUCUGUGUGUCUGUGCCUUCUUUCUUCCCAACACCUUCUCUUCUAAUCCCAGUCAGAUUUGACAGAGGAGCUUCUAAUCCCAGACAGAUUUGACUUCCGAGACUCUUCUGCUCCAGCAAGCUUUACAGAAACCAUAGAAAUCACAGCCAUAUAUCCAGCAGUCAGGAAGAAGGUUGAAAGGACAAAGAGAAGGUUCCUGCAUCCAGGUAGUCAAACUACUGCGUCGUGCCCCAGAGGAGGAAAUGUUGGGGUGCAGGGUUCUCCCUGGCCCCUCUCGGGUCACGGAGGAUAAGUCCACUCCAGGUUUAGGAUGAAGUACAACAAUUCAAGACCACGGAAGAACCAGUGGGAAGGAUGGCUCUUGGUUGACCAAAGUCACUAAAACUUGGCACUGUUGGAGAAGGUAUGUUAGAGAAGUCUGGAUUCUGACCCAGUCUCUGUCUGUCUUCUGCAAAAGAUUAAGCCCAUGGUUUGCCACUGAUAAAUAAAAGUGAAGGGUUGGUAGAUGCCUGGCCUUCACUUGGGCUGGCAUAUUGAAUACCUGCAAUACAGCAGUAUUAAAUAUCCAAUGGCAUGGUCCACCUCCAGUUCUUUGUGUGACCACCAUCCAGAAAGGAGAGCAGAGGAAGGUGAAUGACUUACCCAAGGCCAGGCAGCGUAUCAUUGGAAGGGCUGUGUACAACAGCCGGGUCAGUUGGGUUGCAGAUCUGCAUCCAAACGUACGUUAUGACCUCUUCCUUCCUCGUUAGAUACAUUUCUUGGAAGCCUGGUAUUGCCAGACAUAAUAAAAGUUUCAGGAACGGUGAGGAGGGUUACACCUGGUCCUGCUUUCACACCCACGCUGUGGUUGCAGCCCCUCAGGUUGGUGGUGGGUUUGGGGUCACCACAGUCAGUUCCCUGAAGAGUGUAGGCAGACCCUUUGUAUUCCUUAAGUGAUGUUUUAGGAAUUGUUGUAAAUAGCAGGUCAAACCCAUUCCGGGAUUAGUGCCACUGGUGUGGGUUCGUUUUCAAGUUUGUUUUUCUUGUGUUUGAAGUGGCUUCUCAUCUCUUCUGACAAGGAAUAGCAGUUGUGGCAUCAGAGAGUGGUUUGCAAUAGUGGUGUUUGCAGCCU